GAGGAAUAUUGGACAAUGGGUGAGAGCCUGAUCCAGCCAUCCCGCGUGAAGGAUGACGGUCCUAUGGAUUGUAAACUUCUUUUGUACAGGGAUAAACCUACUCUCGUGAGGGUAGCUGAAGGUACCGUACGAAUAAGCACCGGCUAACUCCGUGCCAGCAGCCGCGGUAAUACGGAGGGUGCAAGCGUUAUCCGGAUUUAUUGGGUUUAAAGGGUCCGUAGGCGGACCUGUAAGUCAGUGGUGAAAUCUCAUAGCUUAACUAUGAAACUGCCAUUGAUACUGCAGGUCUUGAGUAAAUUUGAAGUGGCUGGAAUAAGUAGUGUAGCGGUGAAAUGCAUAGAUUUUACUUAGAACACCAAUUGCGAAGGCAGGUCACUAAGAUUUAACUGACGCUGAUGGACGAAAGCGUGGGUAGCGAAC
rnacentral:rRNA from 1 species